AAAAAAAAAUCGAGGUGCAAUCCUGUACCCAUUUUCCUGGAAGCAAGAGCCACAGAACUCAAUGGAACUUACCUCUCUUGAGUAGACACGCACAGCUCAUCGCGCUGUUAUAAGAAACAAAUUCGAUUUUCUCCCGCACUCGAAAUCAGGGGCAUUAAAAUGAUUUAUCUCUCCCCGCCGCCGCGCCCCCGGUCUGUCCUUAUUCAUUUGUAAUUAAUAUCAAGGGUGGCGGGAAUACUUACGUGCACAUCAAAGGGCGACAACAUCCAAUGAGGCAGAAAACGACCGCGGAGCGAAAAGAAGAGGAAGGCACGAGCAAAUGUAAAUCGAGCGCACUCUCACCUUUUUCACACUCUGGAAUUCUCCCAGCCAAGGGGGCGAGCAGCAAGGUUCUUUUUCCUCCUCACCAGAGAAAGAAUAUGGGAAUCCAGCGUUGUUCCCAUCAGAGGUGGAGAAGCAGCUGGAGGCGAUUGAGUUAAAGAAGAACAAUUAAACAGCCUUGGCAUCCCCUGAGAAGAAUUCCACUCAGAGAAUGCAUCCACCAGCCGGUGUGAAGACUGAGUCCAAGCCAAUGAAUCCAAGAAAGAGCUUCAGUUUGAAACUAUGUCUGAUUUGGUGCUGACUUAGCCAAAACGUGGCUGGGAAUUCCCCUUUCUUUUCAUUAAAGGAAAAUGAUUACUUUUUACUGGCAAAUACAGAAGGGGAAGAUUUUUCAGUAUCUGUAUGGAAUAAACUGCCAGAGUGAAUUUAUUAUAAUUUAUUUCUGGAAAAUGUCUCUGAGAGGGCAUUUUCCUUCUCAUUUUUCCAAUUUGUACCUCUAAUAGACCUUCCCCUCCCCCCACAAAAAUUUAUGUUCAACUAUUGUUUGAAGAACAUUAGUAUUUUAUAAUUUCUCAGGCCAUUAUGAAAUACAAAUCAUGUGGGUGUAUUCAUAAUAAAUUGUUAUCAGAAGAGAAUGAUAGGGAGAUGGCAGGUGACUCUUACCAUAACUGAACACAAUAAGUGAUUCAAAAAUGUGCUUGGGGGCACAUGAUACAGUCCUCCAUGAGACUGACCCAUCUCAGAAUGCAAGUCUGAGCCCUGAGGUGGUAGUUUCCAAACAAGUAAAUUUUAUGUGUAUUCAUAUGCAGCCACUCCUGGUGAACUUAUGGAUAUCUAACAAGAUUUUGAUAGAUAUUAUCCAUAUGCGCACUGGUAGUUAAUUUUCCACAGCUUUAUUCAUAAAAUAAUCACAAUGGUUGUGGAAAUUCUUGAUUUCUUUGACAUCUUUGAUUUGUAGCAUUUAUUUACAUUAUAGGGGAGAGGGAUUUAGUCACUGGCUGCAUGCACACCAUUCAUGACUUCCCCCAAAGAAUCCUAGGAAUUGUAGUUUGUUAAGGACGCUGGGACUUGCAGCUCUCUGAGGGGUAAACUACAGUUCCCAGGGUUCUUUAGGGGAAGUCAUUACUUUAAAUGCAUGAUGUGUACACAGCCACCAACUUUAUACAGGAAGGUAAUUUCAGCCACAUGCCUCCACUGCUGAAUUAUCUCUCUGUGCACUUGAAUGAAAUAAAGGCAGCAUGAAUUAUCUAACAGUCUAAAGAGGAGAUCAAGAACACUUUCCAGUUCAGAGAUUCAGCCAAAGCAAAAAGAGAGAGAAAUUUGUAACGUGUGAUUUCGCAGUUAAUCUUUCCUCUGCAUAAAACUAAAACAUCUGCACUGUUAUGUCCAUUGUGUUUAAUUUUUUGGUCAUCCUCUGCUAACUUACCAAUGAACCUAAAAUGACCUCUGAGGUUGAAAUGGUGAAAAUUAAUGACUUGGAAUCACUCGGCAACAGAAGUGCUAUAUUGAGAAAAUCUGUAUCUUCCAUGGCUCAUGAGCAACAACUGUUAUUUAGUGUGCAAAAAAAAAAAAGUCCAAUAAGGCCAGUGAUUGGGAAAGGACAUUGAAAUAUUCAGUUCUAUUACCAUGUCAAUAGAAUAGUUUUGGGAGAACAUAAUGGUCUCCUUGAGAUUGAUCAAACAGUUGCUAGCUUCAUUGACAAUCAUACCUCCACUAUUAUUUCUGGAUUAUUGUGUGCAAAGAAUAUAUAUUUUUACAUAAAAAGUGCACUGGAUAUUUAACACAACAGGAGCAGCAAGAGGAUUGGUCUUGGCCAAAAUAAUGAACAGUAGCAGUAAAGCAUCUGUGGGCGACUUCUUACCAUCUUUAUUGGACUGGAAUCCCAAUAUGGCACAAAAAAAUAUGCUAUUAUGAUUAUUAUUAUUUGCAUUUAUAUAUCACCUUUUCUCCAAGGAGCUCAAGAUGCCAUACAUGGUUCUCCCCCUCCUCAUUUAAUCCCCACAACAACCCUAUGAAAUAGGCUAGGCUGAGAAGCAGUGAUUGGCCCAACAUCACCCAGUGAGUUUCUGGCCAGGUGGGGAUUUGAACCCUGGUCUCCUAGUUCCUAGUCAAAAAAUUCUAACUACCA